rnacentral:rRNA from 1 species
UACAGAGGUCUCGAGCGUUAGGCGGAAUCACUGGGCUUAAAGCGUGUGUAGGCGGAUCGGUAAGUACCUUGUGAAAUCCCACAGCUUAACUGUGGAACUGCUUGGUAUACUGCCAGUCUUGAGCCAGCUAGGGGCUACCGGAACAAAUGGUGGAGCGGUGAAAUGCGUUGAUAUCGUGAGGAACACCCGUGGCGAAAGCGGCUCACUGGGUCUUUUCUGACGCUGAUGCACGAAAGCUAGGGGAGCAAACGGG